rnacentral:tRNA from 1 species
GCUUUCGUAGUGUAACGGUUAGUACACUCGGCGCUUAUUCGAAAGGUCCAGGGUUCGAGUCCCGGUGAGUGCA